CCAUGGGAGCCGCCAUGUUUAUGUCACUGAACAGGAAGUCAGGAAUUUACAGUGUUUUCGACCCUGUGGUUCAUGUUUCAGGAGGCAUGCAUACCAUCAUCUAGCAAGUUAAUUUGCCUGUUCGACUUCACUGCAUGUUGAUGUAAACAGUUUCCAGAUUGCAUCCACUGUCCCGUGCUUAUAAAUGCAAUACCCUGCUGCAGUGCUGGAGGUCCAGCUGAUUGCAUGCCUUGUGUGUGAGCAGUGACAGUGCCAACCUGAAGUCAAUAGAGUGGAGAAGGGCCAAGAAUCCAGAUGACCACAAAGGUUCCAUCCUCUGGGAAGGAGCUGAGAGAGAUUUCCCAUGGUCCCUGGAGGCAAAAAUUUGUGUAUUUGCUGUAAAUUACAUUAAAGUUAAAACAGCAUGCCAAAUGUUUUUAUUUUGAUGAACGAAAGGAAAAGUUGCGUAUUUGAAAAGUUCAUGAAAGUAUGUCUUUAAUUGGGCUUUAAUUGUUAGCAGUGAAAGGCUUUUUAGAAAAUGCAGUGUUUACUGUUAGCAGUAAACUUUCCAGUCUUUCUGACUCAUUUAUUGGAAUGUCAUGCUUGUGUCCUCCGGAAAUAUCUGUAAUAUAAGAAACACCUGUUGAAUGGUGCAGAUGUGGUACCCUUAACAACAACUCAGUGAAUCCACAGGUAGACAAGUCUGAAAUUAAUUACAUAAAAAUAACAUACUAUUUGACAUUUAAAAAGCAAAGUCUCAGUAAAAAAAGCAAGCCUCCUACAAGGCAACUAACAUGAAGUAAAUGGUUUAGAACUUAACUGAGAAGUGAAUGUCAGGUCAGUUCAGGUUUAUGUGGUCCUUAACAGGCCCAUAAACCACCAGCAUUCAAUUUGUCAUCUCAUUGUAUUUUAUGGCUGGAAUAUUAACAUUUCAGGAGCAAUAUUGUUUGCAUGUGAAAACACCUUUAGCAACUUUCACACAAACUAGACUGUAACUAGGCUUUUCAGUGUGUUGUCAGGCAUUGUAUGGUGCAAUACAAAACAAUGGUGUAUAUAAUAGCAUGCAAUGUAAGUUAUUUGCAGGAAUAAUAUGUACUGUAAUAAGCAAAGUAGACAAAGUAUCAGAGGGGUCAAUAGGAGGUACACUACAUUUCCAAAAAUAUGUGGAGACCUGAAAAUCACACCCAUAUGUGCUUGUUGAACAUCUCAUUCUAAAACCAUGGGCACUAAUGUGGAGUUGGAGCAUUCCAAUUCAUCCCAAAGGUGUUUGAUGGGGUAGAGGUCAGGGCUCCGUGCAGGCCAGUCAGGUUCUUUCCCUCAGCAAAUGAUUUGUCCUGCUGAAACAAGAAAGGGCCUAUCCCAAACUGUUGCUACAAAGUUGGAAGUGCACAGUUCUCUAGAAUGGCCUUGUAUGCUGUAGCAUUUAGAUUUCCCUUCACUGGAACUGAGGAGCCUAGCCCAAGCCACAGACCAUUAUUCCUCCUCCGCCAAGCUUCACAGUUGGCACUAUUCAGGUCAGUGCAGUCGGCAGUAUACUUUCCGCCAAAUCCAGAUUCUUCCGCCAGAUAGUGAAGCGUGAUUAAUCACUCCAGAGAACGCGUUUCCACUGCUCCACAGUCCAAUGGUGCUGUGCUUUAAACUACUCCAGCCCACGCUUGGCAUUGCGCAUGGUGAGCAUAGGCUUGUGUAUGGCUGCUAGGCCGUGGAAACCCAUUUCAUGAAGCUCUUGACGAACAGUUAUUGUGCUAAUGUUGUUUCCAGAGGUAGUUUGGAACUCUGUAGUGAGUGUUGCAACCAAGGACAUGAUUUUCAUGCGCUACAUGCUUCAGCACUCAGUGGUCCUGUUCUGUGAGCUUGAGUGGCCUACCGCUUCACAGCUGACCUGUUGUUGCUCCUGUACGUUUUCACUUCACAAUCACAUUAUGCAGUUGACUUGGGAAACUCUAGCAGGACAUGA